ACAAAGGUUUUUUUGCUAAACCUACUAGAAAAACCACAGAAGCUUAUAUUAAAAUUUCAU
rfam:Picoides pubescens contig39310, whole genome shotgun sequence.